CCCGCUUCCACUAUGGCAGCUCGUAUAGAGUCAACAAAAACCACAGCUUCAGUUUCUCUGGAUUCGCGGCUCAGACGGGUCCAGACAGAGGGGCUGCUCUUUGCUACAGGCGGAGUGAGGAGAUGGCAAUAAGAAGAAGAAGAAGUCCAAACUAUGGCAGUGCUUUUAAGAAUACGAUGGUGAUGACUUGAAGUGAAAACUGGCGUUUGAAGAAGGGCCUCUACCACCGAGGCUGCGCAUGUGUGACAACAGAGCGCCAUCCUGUAAACAGCAAGCAGCGUUUAACGCAGCACCUGUGAGAUGGCAACAAAGCACUUUUGGAGGGACGCUCAAACCAUCUACAUGCUUGAUGAACAUACUUGAUGAAUAGACGUAAAAUUGGUGAUGUAAAUUUGUAUUUCCCGGUAAAGUGACUUGAUGUUUAUUUAAAUUUUACGUUACAUUUACGCUUCACAGCUAGAAGAGCCUGGGUUCGAUUUCCUGACUGUGCGACCAGCGUCCUUUCUGUGUGGUGUUCUCCCCGUGUCUGCGUGGGUUUCUUCCGGGUUCUCUGGUUUUCUCCCACAGUCCAAAGACAUGCAGUCAGGCGAAUUGGAGAUACUAAGUUGUCCCUAGGUGUAAAUGUGACUGUGUAUAUCUGUGUGUCUGCCCUGUGAUGGACUGGCGACCUGUCCAAGGUGUUUCUUGCCUUCCUUCCAAUUAGUGCUGGAACAGGCCUGUUUGAGCCACAUAGAAAGUGAAUGAUUCAUGUUAUAUGGUUGAUCUUUAAGAGGAGCUGACAGUAUGUCCCAUAGUAAGUACUAUGCACAUGUUUGAAAGUAAGGACGGAAAUAUGAUGCCAUCAUUAUUGUGAUUAAUUUCAUCACAAUUAGGGCUGCGCCGAUAUUUUGGCUGGGAUUUGUGGGUUGAUGGUGACAUCUGAAAUUUGUUAUGUAUAUGUUAUGUACAAUGUAAAGCCUGCUUCUGUAGAGUUACAAAUGUGGUAAAAUGGAUAAAAUGCUGACUCUCACGCUUCCUGGUUCUGAGUCGGACUCUCACCUCACUACAACCUCCAACUCCCAAGAUCCCUCAGUAUGUCGUGACUCUGUCAACCAAUCACCAGUCUACUAGAAGAUCCAAGUCACCUGAGUACUGAUGGUCAUCACCUAUAGAACUCUGUAUUUAAGCCUGUCUGUCUCACUGUUACUUUGCAAAGUAUUGCCCCUGUUCUGUCAGUGCAUACCGAGCCGUUUUCUUGUUUACUGCUUAUCCCAAGUUGCUUUGUUUCUCUUUUGUCAUCUUUUGGAAUCUCCCCUAUUGUCUUUGUUCACCUGUUUGUUAGAUGUCUUGGUUUCGACCCUUGCUUGUUUAUGACUGUUUUGCCUGCUCCCAUGUACUGUGUUUUUUCCUACUGAUUUUUGAUCUGGUCUGGUGUUAACCUUGUCAACUGUUGCCCAGUGUUACACUGACACAUCCCAGCAUCGGCAAAACAUUCUUCUAUUCCGGAUUGCAAUAAAUGCAUCAUCAAAUAUCACUUCAAAAUAGCAGUCAAACCUAAUCAUCUGUCAUACAUGUUGACCCUGAGUCCUCAGUCACAGUACACUUUUCUGAGUAAAUCAUGGGUAUGAUUGGUCCUUCUAGAACGCCGAACAACUGCUUGAAUCAUAAGAGAGACCAAUUUAGACCAUUGAUGUCAGCUGCUUUCCGCUGUUUUGGCCAAGUCCUCCCAAAAGCUCAGGCUAUUUUAGAGUUUAUUUUUCACCUUGUGUUGAUCGCGAACACACGGUUCAGCAGAACCAUACAAAAACCUAAUUGUAACGUUAUGCCAAACUGUUCUACAUCUAAAAAUACAGGGCUCAAUCAGGCUAAGGGCACAGCGAGCUGCACCCCUGUUAGACCUGACUGCAUGUCGAGAAGGCCGUAGAGCUAUGAGCUUUAUUCAGAAAGCAGCUCUCCCACGGACAGCAUAAUGAGACAGUAAGGGUAAUUGUGUUUCCAUUAACCCUCUGGCUCUCUCGGACUUCCGUGCGCCGGCCAGAGUGCUGUGAGUGUGACCUGUUACCAUGGAGGGCAGUUCUUAUACAGUGAUCUCGCCCUUCAGCCACUUUACCAAAAGCGAAAGUCUGUGAUCUGCCUUUUACUCUUUUACGUUCUCUAAUCACUUUCUCCGUCUCUCUUUCUCUCUCUUUCUGUCUCUUGCAUAAUUGGGAAAAUAUUCACUGACUCUCUUGUUAACUUCUGUUCUAAACGUGUAACCUGUCUGACCCUGUGCUUUUUCGUUUUCGUCUGUUUCUGUAAUGCUCUCUGCUUGCCUAAAAAUGUUUUUUGUACCUUGCCGGAACGCGGGGUCAAGUACACUCACAGGAAAAAUUGUACUAAAUGCUUUAGUUUGGGGUGGUAACCUCAAGGGUAUGUCAGCAGUACCUUUAGUUAAGAAACACAACUGCUCCAUAUUCCAUUGCAGCUAUAUUUUUAAGUUGCAUUGACUCUGUAUGCUCUGUCUUGACCUUUUUUACAUUCAUAACGGUAGCUGUAACUUACAUUUUAAGGUUAUUUUCGAGUACUUGUCUAUUUCAGCUGGGCGCGUAUCGCAGAUUGCUUUGUAACAGACUUAACAGUUGAUUAUCAACCUCGAUCAAGUAGUUUAGGAUUUCCUAACUUGAGAUGAGAUGCUAAUAAGAGUCCUAAAUUAGGAUAAGACUUGCUUCCGAAUUAUGAAUUUGUGAAAAGAUCUGACAGGUAAAAAUUGAACUUGAUACAAAAAUAUAGGGAGAUUCUAUAAAACAGCCCCUGGUUAAGAAGAGAUCUUGUUCAGUGAUGCACUGAAAUGAAGGUUCCUGGUUGAAACUGAAACCAAAAUUGAAGACACCUGGCAAAUUUUAAAUUUGUCGUUUUAUGUAUGCUUUUGAAAAAAAAAGGUUCUAAAGGCACUACUUAUACUAGAUAAUAAAGAAAACACCUUUUAUUAUUGACAAAAUCUGCUUUCAAUAGGACCUAAGUGAGCUGACAAAUAAUAUAUGUACAUAAACGUUUUUCCCCACCGUUUAAAAUGUAAU